AUUUUGGGAGAAAGUAGUUCAUGUGCUUUUCACUGCUGUUUGAGCCACACAUGCAAGGAGACAGUUGAGGAAACAAUCUGAGGCAAAGUAUUUAGGAAGUCAUUGCAGUGAAAAGGGCCUAGAUUGGUGUUGGGGUUGCUAGAAUGCAAAGAAAAAACCAGUGGUUGAUGGAGGACUGGAGGAAUUUCUCUGAGGACUUGUUUUGAGGCAUGGAGUGGGAUCAUGGGAGUGACUUGAUAUUGGGGAGUUACAAAACUGGGAAGCCCAGUAACAAUGUGAGUGAAGUGGAUAUGUGAUAGUGAGAGGCCAGAACUGGAGAGUCGCAUCUUUGUGGGCUCAUGAUGGGAGGAAGAAGCUAGCUCCCUGUCGCCAAAUUAGAAGAAGCCAGUACCCUAGCUUUUAUAAAAUACUAAUUUUAAAAUACGUAGACAGUUAAUACUUUGAAUAAUCACUGUGCCAUAGUAAACACGUCUGUGGAUUAAGUUGGGCCUCCCAGUCAUAAUCUUUUGGAAACAGGCCCUGUGUUAGUAUGGGUAAGUAAUUAUUUUGAUUAUUAUGUAACAUUAAAAAAUGCCAGUGAAGACACGGGGAAUGCCUAAAGCAUAGUACUAAGUGAAUAAAGACACACCAAAUUGAAUAUAGACACUUAUUUAUAGCCUUGUAGCAGGUUAAUUCUGAUGGGUGGGGGUGGAAAUCUAGCUUAUCCAUAGAAUGCUUGCCUUGAAUGCAUAAGGCUCUGAGUUUGAUCUCUAGCAUGAUAGGGAAAAAGAUCAGUAGAUUGAUCAUUGGAUUAGAAAAUAAGAUAGUUGCUUUAAAGUGCUAACAAUAUUAGUCAUUCCUUUGUUGUUAUAAUUGUCUUAUGUCACUCUGUUAUUUCCUUAAAAUGGGAAAAACACUGCCAGGUGAAGCAGUAUAAACUGGUGACCCAGGCUUGGGAGGCUGGUGCAGGAGGCUCGCAAAUCAGUGAGACUGUGGUGUGAAGUCAAAUAAAAUAAGUUACUAAUUAAAUUAGGAACGGAAUCGUUCUGGCCAGUUUCCACUUGAGACUUGAACAUCUUUGACGUCUUAGAGUGUUUAAAGGCCUUGGGCUACAUGGAGCGCGCUGCUGAAAGCUACAGCAAAGUGGUUGACCUGGCUCCACUCCAUUUGGAUGCAAGGAUCUCGCUUUCCAUCCUUCAGCAGCAGCUGGGGCGCCCUGAGAAAGCUCUGGAAGCUCUAGAACCCAUGUAUGACCCAGACACCUUAGCCCAGGACGCGAAUGCUGCACAGCAGGAACUGAAGUUACUGCUCCAUCGUUCUACUCUAUUGUUUUCA
rnacentral:lncRNA from 1 species